rnacentral:rRNA from 1 species
CUUGCUUCCGCCGACGACCGGCGCACGGGUGCGUAACGCGUAUACAAUCUACCUUAUACUGGGGUAUAGCCUUUAGAAAUGAAGAUUAACCCUCCAUAGUCUCUUAGAGUGGCAUCACUUCUAGAGUAAAGGUUACGGUAUAAGAUGAGUAUGCGUUCUAUUAGUUUGUUGGUGUGGUAACGGCACACCAAGACUACGAUAGAUAGGGGCCCUGAGAGGGGGAUCCCCCACACUGGUACUGAGACACGGACCAGACUCCUACGGGAGGCAGCAGUGAGGAAUAUUGGACAAUGGAGGCAACUCUGAUCCAGCCAUGCCGCGUGCAGGAAGACUGCCCUAUGGGUUGUAAACUGCUUUUAUACAGGAAGAAACACCUCUACGUGUAGAGGCUUGACGGUACUGUAAGAAUAAGGAUCGGCUAACUCCGUGCCAGCAGCCGCGGUAAUACGGAGGAUCCAAGCGUUAUCCGGAAUCAUUGGGUUUAAAGGGUCCGUAGGUGGAUAAUUAAGUCAGAGGUGAAAUCUUGCAGCUC